rnacentral:lncRNA from 1 species
CUUAACCUCUCGAUGCCUCAUUAUUUCCCCCUAGAAAAUACUUUCACUAUUUGUCCUUGAAUUAAGCAAUGAAGAAGACAACUUUCUACACUUAGAGUAAAUGCAAACAAUUACUUUUCUGGGUCCUCACUGAUUUUUCCAUUUAUCUGCUUCACCUCUCCUCUCUUUCCUUUCUGUUUUCUUCUCUCUCUUUCUCUCUUUCCUUUUCUUUCCCUUUAAUUCUGGCCCCAAAGUAUGGGCUUGGCCAGAGGAAAUACUCAGAAUGAAGGAUUGCAUCUUCCGACCAGAAGCAGGUGCUGAGGAUGGAUAUGACAUCAAAACAGAAGGGAAAUACCAAUUAUUUUGAUGGAAAUUAUUUGAAGGCAUUGGAAUACAAAUCUGUGUGAAGUGAGUUAAAUCUCCGCAAGGCCAAGAUACACUGUGUUUAAUUACACCUUCAUGGAAACUCAAUUAUAUCCUUCUUGCUGAUAGAAAACUGAAUUCCUUAAAAAUUAAAUGAAUUAAAAUUUGUGUAUGACAGGACUAUUAUACCCAUAACAGUUCCACUGCAAGUACAUGAGACUGUCAUGGCAAUAACUGAAAAACUAAAGGAGAUGUCUAUGUAGACAGCUGCUCAUUUACUGCCUGAGGCUCAGAAUCAAUCAUAACUCCAGGUGAACUGAAUCCCUCAGAGCACCAAGGGAAACCUGAGAAGCAUUCCAGGAGACCUCCGUUUGACUGGCUUUUCGGAUAUAUAUAACACAGGCUGAAGUGUGCUGUCAAAACUCAUCAUUUAAGUAUUGUAAACUCCAUUAAAAUAUUCCUUUAAAAGAGAAAGAGCUGCAGACUUGAUACAGGAAGGAUCUCUUCCAUGAUUCUGGGAUUUGGAGCUCAGGUGGUACAACGGUGAUGAAGAUGGAGAUGUGGACGUGGCCAGUGUAAACAUGGUGACUUAGCAGGGAGGACUGAUGAGUGAGGAGAGAGCAGAUGUAAUUGAAAGAGGAGAGGACUAGCCUCAGUACCCUGUGAAACAUUAGCAUUGACUACUGGGCAGGGAAGGAAGAAGCCUCGAAGGGACCUCAGAGGAGUGGUCUCUAUCCCACAGGAGUGUAUACUUUCUUUCCAGUUCUCUUUGGAUCUUUGACAAAGGAAAAUAAAAUCUAUUGUUAAGCAUUAACCAUCUCUCAAGAUAUGUUUUCCAAAAUUGUGUCUUUCCUUUAAAAUAUUCCCCAAUGCCUUCUAUUUAUUUUUUUGGGAAUUUUCUGUGAAUACUUGACCAACAUUUAUUGAGCACCUACUGUAUAGGCCCUAUCACAAGUAACAGUCACUUACACUUGCAUUAUCUCAUAUAAUGUUCACUGUCAAUGUAGAUGGGAAAUUGAUGCCCACACUGACAACGGUCCUGGAUCACAUAGCAGUAGGAAGACAGGGCCAGAAUUUGAACCUGUAUUUUCUGAAUCCUGUGAUCUUUCCACGAUGGUUGGUUGGUAUGGCUAUUUGAUACAUAUAUUGGUCAUAAAAUAUAUGUUCUUAUAUCCUUCUCAAAAGUUUAAGAUUGAUGGCUUGUGCAACCAGUCAUGUUACUACACAGUGAUACUUGAGAGUAUUGUAAAAGGCAUCAAAUAUCUAACCCUCCCAACAGAUGUCUCUCUGGCUUAUGCAGAACCUGUAUGACAAGGGACCAGAGAUAUGUGUUGGGUGAUUAUCCUCUGAACUCAGUCUCUACAAAUUUCAGUGUUUAGA